UCAGCUCCAACGCGACCUGAACCCAGCAGCACCAGCAGCGCACGCGAACCGACAGUAAACCAUCACCAACUCCAUCGCAAGUAACGUUUGAUUUUCUUUAAUUACUGUAGAAAUUUUGAGAUUACUGAAGCCAUUGUUGAUGACUUGAUGUUGUAAUGGAGAGUAGUUUUGUAGAAGAAUUGAGAGAGAGAGAGAGAGAGUGAAGAAGAAGAAGAAGAAGAAUGUUUCAUUGUUGCCGUAGAAAGUGGAUAACGAAGAAGAAGCAUUGUGUAUCAUUUUCAAUUGCAAAUUCUUUUAAAAAUUAUUAAAGGGCAUUUAUGAUUUAGCUAGUUUAUGGUAUUUUAUCACUUCUAA
rnacentral:lncRNA from 1 species